rnacentral:lncRNA from 9 species
AUGAGGUCCCCAUCAGUGGAAGUAUCCAGUCAGAGGCUGGGCAUUUGUUGUCAGAGCUGUCCUAGGGGGAUCAGGCACUGGAAAGAUAUCUGGCAGAGAUAACCUUUAAUGUCUUUGUGAAACAUGAGGUUCUUUCAUUUGAAUGUUCACCUUUGGAAUGUGCUCUGAAUCUCUUCUCCCCUCCCCCACUCUCAUAUGAUCCAUUGCCAGAGGUCCCACUCCUUCCUGGGGGGAGGGCAUGAGAGGGACAGUUAACUAAACUGUAGUCAUUAUGAUGCUACUAUGUCACAAUCCCUUCUCUAUGAAUGAUGGCCUGCUUUAUGCUAGGCGCCCAGGGACAGUGAGAUAAGUGAGGUCUGGAAGACAGGUGCUUCCAUCACAUCCUGCUCUGGCUCUGGAAAUGCCCCUGGACUUAUCGUGGAGAAUGACCAAAGAUACAGCAAACUUAUCUGCCUCUUGAUCCUCUCUUUGAGAAAGGAUGCUGGCCCCCAGCCAGGUCUCCAGCACAGAGGAAAAGGCUCGCUCUUCCUACACCAGUAAAUGAUGGUUUCUGUGAACAUUUGAUACUGCAAUGCCACUGCGUCAAGUUUAGAUUGUACCAUGUCAGCACUUCUAAGGAAGUAAGUCUCUUGAAAUCCAACUCCUAUUCUGAAGUUCAAUCUAUACUUCCCUCUAGCAAGGAGAUUGAAGAAGGAAGGUGACAGGACUUAAGCUACAAGGGUGUGACUUAAGCAGACAGGAAGGGAAGAUAAGGUCCCUUCCAAGCCAAGAAAACAGCCUGAGCAAAGGUGAAAAAGAAUGAGAACUUGAGGAAAUGGCGAUAGGAGUUGAAACAAAUGGAAAGCACCCUUCAAAGCCCAAAUACCGGGGCAGUAUUAGGAAAACUCUGGAACAUAUAGGAGAUGAAAUAUUCUGGAACCAUGAAAAAUUACCUUUAUGAAAAUUACACAACAAUGUGGGAGAAAGCUUACAAUUACACAAUUUAAAAACAAAACAAAAACUUUACCUGAAAUUUUUUUUUUGUAAACACAAUUGGAUAAUGUCUACUGUCUAAAAGGAACUAGAACAUUUAUAAUUUUUCUUUCGUUUAUAACAUUUAGCUUAAGUGAAAGACAUCAUAUAUGAAAGCUCAGCCUUCCUACUAUCACCUACAAGUAUUAUAUAUUUACUUUUCUCUUACAUGAGAGUGAGUCAAAGAUAAGUACAUUGGCUUUGAAAGAGAAACUCAAAUUGGAUGUGAUUUCCUUAUGAUUAAAAAAAAAAGAAUCAAAGGGGUAAGGAGCAAGAUUAGUAGUGAUCAGAU